CCUACGGGAGGCUGCAGUGGGGAAUAUUGCACAAUGGGGGAAACCCUGAUGCAGCGACGCCGCGUGAGUGAAGAAGUAUUUCGGUACGUAAAGCUCUAUCAGCAGGGAAGAAAAUGACGGUACCUGACUAAGAAGCCCCGGCUAACUACGUGCCAGCAGCCGCGGUAAUACGUAGGGGGCAAGCGUUAUCCGGAUUUACUGGGUGUAAAGGGAGCGUAGACGGCAGCGCAAGUCUGGAGUGAAAUCCCAUGGCUUAACCAUGGAACUGCUUUGGAAACUGUGCAGCUAGAGUGCAGGAGAGGGAAGCGGAAUUCCUAGGGUAGCGGUGAAAUGCGUAGAUAUUAGGAGGAACACCAGUGGCGAGGGCGGCUUACUGGACUGUAACUGACGUUGAGGCUCGAAAGCGUGGGGAGCAAACAGGAUUAGAUACCCUAGUAGUC
rnacentral:rRNA from 1 species